AAAUUGAAGAGUUUGAUCAUGGCUCAGAUUGAACGCUGGCGGCAGGCCUAACACAUGCAAGUCGAACGGUAGCACAGAGAGCUUGCUCUCGGG
rnacentral:rRNA from 4 species